GCAGGCGGCACCCGGCGGCUGGGAAGCGAGGGAUGCUCGCCGAAGCCACCGGGGAGGAGCCCGCCGGGACCGGUGCGACCGAGCAGCGAGACGGAACUGGGACUUGCGCGAAGCGCCUGGAGGGAAGACCAGCCGGGGUAAAUUAUCAUCUUCAACUUAUUCACCUGAAAAUCCUUUAACAUGUGAAGAUGCACCAAGGCCUACAGAAAGUGGACCUUAACAUUCUUCUAUAUAGAAUGGAACAACACAAAGAAAAUACUGAUGGUAUCACAAAGAAAGAUGAGGAUGCUUUACUCUUGUUUUACUCCUUAGAAUUAAUGAGUUUGCAAAGAUUUUUGUUUUUUAAAUAAAGUUUCACUAAAAGUAGUUGCACACCAUGUUUUCAUUCCCAUUGAAAAACACUCCAUGAAAGCAACCAAUAAAAUUCUAAUUAAUGAGAAUAAGUUACAUUUCUUGUGUGUCUCUGUUAAGCAAGCUGUAUAGUUGUCUAGUGGUAAAGGUUGUGCCUCCGAGCAUAAACUAAAGUUUAGAUUUUGUUCUGAUUUCAUUUUUUGACUUGUGCUGCUUGUUCUGUUUAACCUUUCUCGCAAUUGGGAUGACUGGGGAAAUGCAAUGCUCUUUCAUCCUCAGGUGUACAGGAAGGUGGUCAAUGUCUCGUUAAAAUGGAUUAUGUCAGCCAUGGAUGCACCUACUAGAAAGCCUUUAAGAUGAUGCAUAAGUCUGACAGGAGAAUGUCAUUGCUCUGCCCUUCUGCUACACUGAUGCACUUGGUGGAAAUGUUGCAGUUCCCUGGCUGGACAAACUGUGUCACGCCUGUCAGCGACAGAAGUUCUGUACAGUGCUGCUUUCUCGCUGCAGGAGGCAACGUGUGCAGCCAAGCAGUUUUAGCUGUGUAA
rnacentral:lncRNA from 1 species